AGUUUGAUCCUGGCUCAGAGCGAACGCUGGCGGCAGGCCUAACACAUGCAAGUCGAACGAACUCUUCGGAGUUAGUGGCGGACGGGUGAGUAACACGUGGGAACGUGCCUUUAGGUUCGGAAUAACUCAGGGAAACUUGUGCUAAUACCGAAUGUGCCCUUCGGGGGAAAGAUUUAUCGCCUUUAGAGCGGCCCGCGUCUGAUUAGCUAGUUGGUGAGGUAAAGGCUCACCAAGGCAACGAUCGGUAGCUGGUCUGAGAGGAUGACCAGCCACAUUGGGACUGAGACACGGCCCAAACUCCUACGGGAGGCAGCAGUGGGGAAUCUUGCGCAAUGGGCGAAAGCCUGACGCAGCCAUGCCGCGUGGAUGAUGAAGGUCUUAGGAUUGUAAAAUCCUUUCACCGGUGAAGAUAAUGACUGUAGCCGGAGAAGAAGCCCCGGCUAACUUCGUG
rnacentral:rRNA from 1 species